UGUGUGUGUGUACGUGUGUGUGUGUGUGUGUGGUGGAUUGUGUUCUCAGACUUAGGGUGAGGGAACAAAUGAAACCAGCACUACGUUUUCUUAUAUUUGGAAGCUGGAACAAACACACACACACACACACACACACACACACACA
rnacentral:miRNA from 1 species